AUGGGUCUACCAAAGGUUUUUAACCUUAAAGGCUCCAUGUUUUCUUCAUGCUGUGGCAGUGCAGAAGAACUGGUGACCGAAGGCUUGCCACCAUCGCUGACAGGGCAGCCGGGAGCCAGCCAGGGGAAAAAGAUAGGCCACCGAGGAGUUGAUGCAUCAGGGGAAACGACGUAUAAGAAGACCACAUCAACCACGCUGAAGGGGGCAAUCCAGCUGGGGAUUGGCUACACUGUGGGAAACCUGAGCUCUAAACCUGAGAGGGAUGUUUUGAUGCAAGAUUUCUAUGUGGUGGAGAGCAUUUUCUUUCCCAGUGAAGGCAGUAAUCUAACUCCGGCGCACCAUUAUCCCGACUUCAGAUUCAAAACAUACGCGCCCGUCGCUUUCCGCUAUUUUCGAGAACUUUUUGGCAUUCGUCCAGAUGAUUAUUUGUAUUCCUUGUGCAACGAGCCACUGAUCGAGCUCUCCAAUCCUGGGGCCAGCGGCUCCCUCUUCUAUGUCACUAGCGACGAUGAAUUCAUCAUCAAGACUGUGAUGCACAAAGAGGCAGAAUUCCUCCAGAAACUUCUUCCGGGUUAUUAUAUGAACCUGAACCAGAAUCCACGGACGUUGCUGCCAAAGUUCUACGGUCUCUACUGCGUCCAGUCUGGGGGCAAAAACAUCCGUGUGGUGGUGAUGAAUAACAUCCUGCCCCGGGUGGUAAAGAUGCACCUGAAAUACGAUCUCAAAGGCUCCACCUACAAACGUCGGGCGUCUAAGAAAGAGAAGGAUAAGUCAAGCCCCACCUACAAAGAUUUGGACUUCAUGCAGGAUAUGCCCGAGGGCAUCAUGCUAGAUGCAGAUACGUUCAACGCUCUGGUGAAGACAUUGCAGAGGGACUGUUUGGUGCUGGAGAGUUUCAAAAUAAUGGAUUACAGCCUGCUCCUUGGGGUGCACAACAUAGACCAGCUGGAACGGGAACGACAGGUUGACGGUGCCCAAAGCCUGUCUGAUGAAAAACGCCCCGUGGGACAGAAGGCUCUGUAUUCCACCGCCAUGGAGUCGAUCCAGGGUGGAGCUGCUCGAGGGGAACCCAUUGACACGGAUGACACGUAAGGAAUAUAGGCAGUUUUGAGUUCAGGUAGUCCUCAAAAACUGUUCAUUUAGUGACCAUUCGAAGUU
ensembl:lncRNA